GCUGAAUUAGAAGAACUCAAUAAGUUUCUUGACUCAAAUAUCAAAGCAGGGCAGCAGCAGAUAAUGUCGAAGCAGCAGGUUGCCAGUUAUCCUGUAGGAAUUACAAACAUUGAACAGCUUGAGAAACUGGUUGCCACUUGCGAAGCAGAGUUAGGAGCUCUCAUACUAAAAUGUUCAGAACUAUCCAAGUCUCCCAAAAAUAUGGAUGCUCUCAAAGAAGCUAUGCUGAAGAAAAAGCUUCUGAUCGAUAUGCUCAAAACGUUGAAAAGAAAACAACCUGUUUCUUCAGCACCACUCACAACAGUCACAUCCAGCAAGCCAGUGGUUGCAUCAACAGCAGUUGCACCUCAUGCCUCGAGUUCCCUGGCAACAGACCUCAGUAGCUCUAGUCCUAAAUCUCUGGCUGUCCCUGUUCCUAGCAAAUUAGCAGCUUCAUCUGGUCAUAAGCAAGAGACGUUGAAUGUGGAUGAAGUUACCUCAAUCUCUUGUGACUCCACCUCGCUUUCAAAGGUAAUUAUAUUUCUUUUAUAAUUACUACCAUAAAACCUCAGUUUAUUUUAUCUUGUAAAGAAAGAUUCUGUUGUUUAACAAGUAAGUUGUUUGCUCACGAAGGGACCUAUCAGAUCCAAGUAAAAUCACCAAAAAUCGUUGGAUUGGAAAUUGCCAUCAAUUUUCAUCCAUCAUAUAAUUUUUCUCAAAAAGUUUUUACCCUGUAAAUUUCCUUUGUACUUAUCUACUAUUAUUCUAGCCGAGAUCAUAAAAAGGAAAAAAGCGAUCACUGUUUCAGUCACCUGCCAAUGUGGGUCAUGGCAGGACGGAAUUUGAGUUAGACAUGAGCACGUAUUUGAGUCUAGCAUCUGCCUCCUUAGUUUAACUUUCACUAAUAAAAUUUUGACUUGUACAGUAUAUCAGAAUUUUAAGAUUCCAGAGAUACAUCUGACUAAAAAUUAGGUUUACAGAACCACAUCUGACCGAGAACUAGGAUUCCAAAAAUACAUCCGACUGAGUGCGUCUCAGCGAAUUGCUGAUUAUAACUAGGGCAGUGGGAAAGAGAAUGUCACGACAUUCCUGUAUUAUUCAUUACUUGCCUCAGAAUGGCACGUAUCUGUGCUGUCCUAUUCUUUUUUCUUCUGCUGUCCCAUGUCCCAUCAUUAUAUGUUGAUUUUCUUGUCCAAUUGAAGUAUGUUUCUCCUAUCUAUCUUGUGUUAUUGCAGUCCUUGACCCUGUCCCAGUGUCAUCAACUCAUUGUGUCAAUGUCCAUUUUCCACUAAUCAAAUAUCUCCUCAGCAUGGUCCAUGUAAUUCCAUUUGCAUGAAAGUUCAUUGGUGCCUGGCAAUCCUGUAUCUAAUUAAUCGUGAACUGUCAGAAAGUAUUUGUGACUGCUUUCUUCCUUGUUUGCAAUAAUUUGGCCAAAAUAGUUGAAGAUAUGUAAAAAAAUUCUUUGUGGUAAGAAUCCGUUUUUGUAAAGCAGACGCUAAUUUAGUCAGGAUUUGAGUAAACCUUGAAUUAUUAUCAUAAGUCUUAUGGGAAAUCAACGGGCCCAGGCGAAAAAUUUGACUUAGUGAGAAAUUCAUUCAAGUGGCUUACAACUAAAGGAGGGCAGGAUUCUUAGGUGCCACACUAGGGUCCCUGCAGUUUUAAUGCAAAGAGAAAGAUAAAUGAGAUGAAGGGAAGUCAGGAUUGUCAGAUGAUUAACAAGAGAUUAUGCAGCCACGGUACACACUAAACUCUCUCAGUCUGAUAAGAAGUCAAGCAGUUAGUCAGUGUGAGCUGAAGCCUACAGAUUGCAUCAGAGUACCCACAGACAGAGUAUGGCCAUUCCUAUCUUCUUAGCACAGCAAAGUUGUGCCCUUUCUUUGAUUGGUCUACAAAUUAUGGGCUAUUAUGAUGCCCUUACGACCAUACAUAAACGUACGUGCUUAUUGUUGGAUAGGCUUCUAAAAUUAAAGCCAACCCCCUCACAAGAAAUUACUCCAGAUGCUUUGUUACCAACCCACUGUUUCUAGAUUAACCCAAUUUAUAGUAUUCUGCGUUGCAAGGAUUUGACAUCUUGUUCGUUUACAUAUAGCCGUAUGCGUACCGUAGCAGCCUAUUUUUCAUGACUAAUGAAAACCGGCACACAAAUGACCAUACUCUGUCUAUGAAGA
rnacentral:lncRNA from 1 species